AACUCUGUGAUUGUUUGGUUGA
rnacentral:siRNA from 1 species